GUUCGCCAAAUCCACCGUGAAUCACGCUAUGAGCACCGUCGUGGGAGAGAGAUAGGAGCCGCCGCGCAUGGGCUUCAGUUCACCUUCAACCAGAUCGCCGGAGUUGUGCCCUAGGGCUUCUUCGGGCUAGAGGGUGAGUGGACGGGGUCGCGUCGUGUGGGAUUCAUCACCAGCGCCACCUCAAUUGCUCACGUGAGAAGUCCCUGCAUCGCAAAUCCGCUACCUACCGCAGGCCGACUUCACCACAAUGCCUUCGAUGGUGGGAUAUCCCUAACCCUGUUUUGUUUGACAUCCGCAUUCAGUUGGCCUUGCCGGUGUUGGUGAUAGUGUCUAGGGUCUCAGGCAGCCGCUCACCGGCGAGAACGCCGCGCGGUGGCAGGGCGCCCUGGCAUACGGAGGAAGGAGAACGGCACUGGACCACGGGAUAAGAAAUGGAUGGCUAGGGUUAAAUUUGUUGCUUACCCUUUUGCCCAUUGAACUCGAGUCAUGGAUCGUCCAUCCGAUGGCUAGGGUGGAUCAUUGUCGUGGGUAGCUUUUGGCCAUAGAUCCUUAAUCGUGCGGUCGAUAUUGUGUACCGAUUCAGAAUAAACACAGAUCUAAUCCAGGCCUUUGGUUCCUGAUCGAACGGCUGAGGGAUCUUAAUACCCCUUCGGCCGAGACUAAUUGCAUAAGAUCCCUCGGGUUCCAUUGAAAUCAACACGCCGUCCAUGUUAGGUCAGAAUGAAUAACAAACAAGUCCUCGAAAUUUGCAAACCAGUCCCUAGUAUUUACAUUCAUGCCCUUAAUAGCUGUUUUAGUAUAAAAAUAAAUAUAAAAACAAACCCAAAAUCUUAUUUAUUGCAUAUCUCUCACAUUUUAAUUCUGAUUUAGUCCAUUCCAGUUGCUUUAGCUUCAUAAAAAUAUUUUCUACGCAGUGAGAACAUCAUUUGUACCAUAUCACAUAAUUAGAUAUUGCUUAAUCUAUGUUUUGUAGAUUAAGUUUGCUAAUCAAAGUCAACUUAUCUAUAAUUAUAAUCUAACUAAUAUAUGAUAACUAAUUAAGUUGUAACAUGUACUAAAGUUGAAUUAAAUAUUUACUUCUCACAAGAUUUAUAACAUAGAAGGUAUUUUUAUCAUUUAAACACCUAAAACUUUAUAAAACUACAUCUUUUGAACCAUAACUCUGAUUUUAGUGAUUCUUGUACCUACGCUCUUGUAGCAGCGUGUAGAAUAUUUUUACGCUGUUUGUUCUCAUGUUUGGUGUACUGUUGUUUUAUAUGCUCCUUGUCUAUUUGUAUGUAUUGCUACGAAUAGCGAUGAGGUCACGAGAAUCCGUAGACCAACUUGGUACCUGGGAUCUCAAGUCUAAGGCAAGUUGUGCCCUUGAGCACUUUUCUUUACCUAUUAAUGUUCAUGUUAAUCACUGUGACAUGCUCAGGU
rnacentral:lncRNA from 1 species